AGAGUUUGAUCAUGGCUCAGAGUGAACGCUGGCGGCGUGCUUAACACAUGCAAGUCGAGCGAGAUCUGACAGCGUAUCGUCAGGUCUAGCGGCAGACGGGUGAGUAAUACUUGGGCAAUCUGCCCUUGAGUAGGGGACAACCUGCCGAAAGGCGGGCUAAUACCCCAUAAGACCACAGGGAUGCAUAUCCUAGGGGUCAAAGCUCCGCAAGGGGCGCUUAAGGAGGAGCCCGAGUCCUAUCAUGGUAGUUGGCGGGGUAAUGGCCCACCAAGCCGUUGACGGGUAGCCGGCCUGAAAGGGCAACCGGCCACACUGGCACUGAGACACGGGCCAGACUCCUACGGGAGGCAGCAGUGGGGAAUUUUGGACAAUGGGGGCAACCCUGAUCCAGCGACGCCGCGUGAAGGAUGAAGGUCUUCGGAUUGUAAACUUCUUUUAAAGGGGAUGAAUGUCCUGGUGAAUAGCCAGGGGUGACAGUACCCUUUGAAUAAGCCACGGCUAACUACGUGCCAGCAGCCGCGGUA
rnacentral:rRNA from 1 species